UAGGGAAUCUUCGGCAAUGGACGGAAGUCUGACCGAGCAACGCCGCGUGAGUGAAGAAGGUUUUCGGAUCGUAAAGCUCUGUUGUAAGAGAAGAACGAGUGUGAGAGUGGAAAGUUCACACUGUGACGGUAUCUUACCAGAAAGGGACGGCUAACUACGUGCCAGCAGCCGCGGUAAUACGUAGGUCCCGAGCGUUGUCCGGAUUUAUUGGGCGUAAAGCGAGCGCAGGCGGUUAGAUAAGUCUGAAGUUAAAGGCUGUGGCUUAACCAUAGUAGGCUUUGGAAACUGUUUAACUUGAGUGCAAGAGGGGAGAGUGGAAUUCCAUGUGUAGCGGUGAAAUGCGUAGAUAUAUGGAGGAACACCGGUGGCGAAAGCGGCUCUCUGGCUUGUAACUGACGCUGAGGCUCGAAAGCGUGGGGAGCAAACAGGAUUAGAUACCCUGGUAGUCCACGCUGUAAACGAUGAGUGCUAGGUGUUAGACCCUUUCCGGGGUUUAGUGCCGUAGCUAACGCAUUAAGCACUUCGCCUGGGGAGUACGACCGCAAGGUUG
rnacentral:rRNA from 1 species